rnacentral:lncRNA from 7 species
GAUCUCUGCACGUGCAUCAUGCCAGGACUUUGAAAACAGCCUCAUUCAUUGGACUGCAGGACUGGGAAUUAAAUUAAGUGAUUUCAUAGAGGUGGAGGAGGUUCCUCAGAUUUCCUUUGGAGGUGAUUAGACACUGCACUUUGUCCUUAAAUUAUGGAUACUCAAGUGCAGCUGUACUGCAGAGUAGUUUUCAGAUCAAGAGUUCCAGCAUCAAGCAAAGAAGUCAGUUCUGGCUUCAUGUGCUGGAGAUUGGACAGCAACAGUCUGAAUUUCUAGAGUGGGCACUGUGACGUCGCAGUGGAAGGAGAACUAUAAAUGCCCCAGUCAGUUGUAAGGAAUCUGGGGCAAAAAAGCCAAAAUAUUCCUUUGCGAACUAAGUGAGAAGCAAUGGAAAUCUAAUGAUGAAAAGUAAUUAUAAACUUCUUAGCUAGUAUCUUAACUUCUUAUUCCUAGUCAGACUAGUUUUGCUAGUCUUUCUAAUUCUUGGGAUCUCUGACUCCGGCUGUCCUGUUCAACAGGACGACAGGAAAGUAAUUUACACUUUGCCUUGAGCAUGCAUAACACAUUCUAUGCUUAUUAUGGCGCACUGUCCUUUUUUUUUUUUUUUUUUACAAAGUGCCCAUGAAUCACAAGUACAAUUUAAUUCCAAGUGAAUAUGAAUAAUUUUUUAAAUUUAAUUCUUGCCCUAAAGAACUGAUGAUCAGUCUUCUGAUGCUUUCUUGUCAGUGGGACAUAGUGAUGAGUUCAGAGCUUAUUCCUAAUUCAGAAGUUAACAACACUUAGCCAGUGAUAGUGUAAUGGCCUCUGAAAACUGAGUCUGGACGAAGUGAACGCUUAACAUGACCCAGUAUAAUGGUUCUGUUACUGGUUAUUGCAGGACAGAUAGGAAAGUGCUCUGAUGAUGAAGAACAUGACAUGGUAUGUCUGAUGUUGCUAAUGGUCUGCUUGGCUAGGUACUCAUCGAACACUAACAUGCAUCCCUUGCAUGAAGUAGAAAGCUGCAGCUGUCCUAAUGCUUGUGAACUUGAGCUGAAGAGCUACAAUGAGAAGGACAUAUAUAUGCAAGAUUGCAAAAUAUCCAGAGUUGAAGCCUGGUGCUUUCAAAGGAAUGGAGCAUUUCAUAUCAGCUUAAUGCCCUAUAUUUAGAUAUUUUUGCAUGUAUAUAGUUUUGCUUAGUCUUGUACAUUAGUUUUCAAUAACAAGAAAUGUGAGUUGGCUUGUUUCCAGAGUUCUUAUGU